AAGUCGUAACAAGGUUUCCGUAGGUGAACCUGCGGAAGGAUCAUUACAUGAUAUCACAGGGAGUUGGUACCACGAAAGUGCACCAACUCUGUCUGCAUAUUAUACCCAUGAUUUUGCGUACCAUUUGUUUCCUUGGUGGGCUUGCCCACCAAUAGGACACCAAACAACCCUUUGUAAUUGCAGUCAGCGUCAGAAAACUAUAAUAAUUACAACUUUUAACAACGGAUCUCUUGGUUCUG
rnacentral:misc_RNA from 1 species